rnacentral:rRNA from 1 species
GGAUCCAGACUUUGAUCCUGGCUCAGGACGAACGCUGGCGGCGCGCCUAACACAUGCAAGUCGAACGAGCAAAGAGGAGCUUGCUUCUCUGAGCGAGUGGCGAACGGGUGAGUAACGCGUGAGGAACCUGCCUCAAAGAGGGGGGACAACAGUUGGAAACGACUGCUAAUACCGCAUAAGCCCACGGGUCGGCAUCGACCAGAGGGAAAAGGAGCAAUCCGCUUUGAGAUGGCCUCGCGUCCGAUUAGCUAGUUGGUGAGGUAACGGCCCACCAAGGCGACGAUCGGUAGCCGGACUGAGAGGUUGAACGGCCACAUUGGGACUGAGACACGGCCCAGACUCCUACGGGAGGCAGCAGUGGGGAAUAUUGCACAAUGGGGGAAACCCUGAUGCAGCGACGCCGCGUGGAGGAAGAAGGUCUUCGGAUUGUAAACUCCUGUUGUUGAGGAUGAUAAUGACGGUACUCAACAAGGAAGUGACGGCUAACUACGUGCCAGCAGCCGCGGUAAAACGUAGGUCACAAGCGUUGUCCGGAAUUACUGGGUGUAAAGGGAGCGCAGGCGGGAAGACAAGUUGGAAGUGAAAUCCAUGGGCUCAACCCAUGAACUGCUUUCAAAACUGUUUUUCUUGAGUAGUGCAGAGGUAGGCGGAAUUCCCGGUGUAGCGGUGGAAUGCGUAGAUAUCGGGAGGAACACCAGUGGCGAAGGCGGCCUACUGGGCACCAACUGACGCUGAGGCUCGAAAGUGUGGGUAGCAAACAGGAUUAGAUACCCUGGUAGUCCACACCGUAAACGAUGAUUACUAGGUGUUGGAGGAUUGACCCCUUCAGUGCCGCAGUUAACACAAUAAGUAAUCCACCUGGGGAGUACGAAAGGAAGGUUGCAACUCAAAGGAAUUGACGG